GAGUUUGAUCAUGGCUCAGAACGAACGCUGGCGGCAUGCCUAACACAUGCAAGUCGAACGAACUCUUCGGAGUUAGUGGCGCACGGGUGCGUAACGCGUGGGAAUCUGCCCUUGGGUACGGAAUAACUCAGAGAAAUUUGUGCUAAUACCGUAUAAUGACUUCGGUCCAAAGAUUUAUCGCCCAAGGAUGAGCCCGCGUAAGAUUAGCUAGUUGGUGGGGUAAAGGCCUACCAAGGCUACGAUCUUUAGCUGGUCUGAGAGGAUGAUCAGCCACACUGGGACUGAGACACGGCCCAGACUCCUACGGGAGGCAGCAGUGGGGAAUAUUGGACAAUGGGCGAAAGCCUGAUCCAGCAAUGCCGCGUGAGUGAUGAAGGCCUUAGGGUUGUAAAGCUCUUUUACCCGGGAUGAUAAUGACAGUACCGGGAGAAUAAGCUCCGGCUAACUCCGUGCCAGCCGCCGCCGUAAC
rnacentral:rRNA from 1 species